CCAAGACUAUGAUGUGUAGCCGGGCUGAGAGGUUGAACGGCCACAUUGGGACUGAGACACGGCCCAAACUCCUACGGGAGGCAGCAGUAGGGAAUUUUCGGCAAUGGAGGAAACUCUGACCGAGCAACGCCGCGUGAACGAUGAAGUAUUUCGGUACGUAAAGUUCUUUUAUUAGGGAAGAAUAAAUGAUGGAAAAAUCAUUCUGACGGUACCUAAUGAAUAAGCCCCGGCUAACUAUGUGCCAGCAGCCGCGGUAAUACAUAGGGGGCAAGCGUUAUCCGGAAUUAUUGGGCGUAAAGGGUGCGUAGGCGGUUAAAUAAGUUUAUGGUCUAAGUGCAAUGCUUAACAUUGUGAUGCUAUAAAAACUGUUUAGCUAGAGUAAGAUAGAGGCAAGUGGAAUUCCAUGUGUAGUGGUAAAAUGCGUAAAUAUAUGGAGGAACACCAGUAGCGAAGGCGGCUUGCUGGGUCUUUACUGACGCUGAGGCACGAAAGCGUGGGGAGCAAACAGGAUUAGAUACCCUGGUAGUCCACGCCGUGAACGAUGAGUACUAAAUGUUGGGUAAAACCAGUGUUGAAGUUAACACAUUAAGUACUCCGCCUGAGUAGUACGUACGCAAGUAUGAAACUUAAAGGAAUUGACGGGACUCCGCACAAGCGGUGGAUCAUGUUGUUUAAUUCGAAGGUACCCGAAAAACCUCACCAGGUCUUGACAUGCUUCUGCAAAGCUGUAGAAACACAGUGGAGGUUAUCAGUUGCACAGGUGGUGCAUGGUUGUCGUCAGCUCGUGUCGUGAGAUGUUGGGUUAAGUCCCGCAACGAGCGCAACCCUUAUUGUUAGUUGCCAGCACGUAAUGGUGGGGACUUUAGCAAGACUGCCAGUGAUAAAUUGGAGGAAGGUGGGGACGACGUCAAAUCAUCAUGCCCCUUAUGACCUGGGCUACAAACGUGAUACAAUGGCUGUUACAAAGGG
rnacentral:rRNA from 1 species